CCUACGGGAGACUGCAGUGGGGAAUAUUGCGCAAUGGGGGAAACCCUGACGCAGCAACGCCGCGUGAGUGAGGAAGUAUCUCGGUAUGUAAAGCUCUAUCAGCGGGGAAGAAAGAGGACGGUACCCGACUAAGAAGCCCCGGCUAACUACGUGCCAGCAGCCGCGGUAAUACGUAGGGGGCGAGCGUUAUCCGGAUUUACUGGGUGUAAAGGGAGCGUAGACGGCGUCGCAAGUCUGAAGUGAAAGCCCGGGGCCCAACCCCGGGACUGCUCUUGGAACUGCGUGGCUGGAGUGCAGGAGGGGCAGGCGGAAUUCCUGGUGUAGCGGUGAAAUGCGUAGAUAUCAGGAGGAACACCGGUGGCGAAGGCGGCCUGCUGGACUGCAACUGACGUUGAGGCCCGAAAGCGUGGGGAGCAAACAGGAUUAGAUACCCGGGUAGUC
rnacentral:rRNA from 1 species